AGACCGGGAGCAGGAAGGAUGGAGGGGACGGGUUGUUUACAUUACGUAUGUUCUUCUGCCCUACCCAAGCACAGUCUGAGCAAGAAUUUAUUACACAUGUACCAGCUGACUGUCUCAUUAUUGGCUGAAAUUGAGGUCAGUAUGGUGCCCCACAUCAAGGAAUGGCCGACUAUCAUCCUGGUGUAAUGCCUCCCUAUGGACAAGGACCCCCCAUGGUAUCAAGGUGGGCCCCCUAGGCCUCUCAUGGGGAUAAGACCUCCUGUAAUGUCUCAAGGUGGCCGUUACUGAUGUUUCUGCACUAAUAAAUAGAUUUGGAGAUUAAACCUUUUCUCAUAUUGUGCUGUGUAUAUAGCCAAGCUUCCGUCACUUAGAUCUUCAUUGUGACUUAAACGUGUCCCCUACAUACCCGGAACUUUUGGACAUUUUGUUUUACUUGUGGGAGGGUUAUUUUUAUUUGUGGGAAAUAAACCAGGAAUAACCUUGAGAUUGCAAUUUAUACUGUAUGGCUUCUUUUUCAUGUUUUAUCUAUGUUUUUAGAAGUGGCAUAUAGCAAAUGUGGUUAGUUUAAAUGUGAAGGCGCCAAAUACCACCUUAAAGGCAAGUUCUGUAAUGUUACUUCGCUCUCUGCAUUAUAACGCCUUCACAGCAUCCUAGGGUGCUGUUGGACUUUGGUCCCCAACAGUGGUUGGUGAGGGCUGUAUCUGUUGCACCUAAGUUACUGUAUUUAGGUCUCUGACUCCCCACCUGCU